rnacentral:lncRNA from 1 species
GUGGGCUGAAACAAGGAACGCACUAGCACCACGUUAGUUAUAAAAGCAAGCUGAAUAAGCGUUCGACGAUGGUACUGUGCUGGUCCUAGGCUAGACCGUGCUAGAGACGCGAGCCUGGACACAAAGGAAAACCACAGCACACCCCCGAAAACAAGGUGGAAGAAACCUAAAAUCAAUAUGAAAAAAAGCCCCUUUUUUUCUUUUGAAUCUUUUCUCUUUUCUUUUUUUUCUUUUUUUUGGGCAACCUCAAAAACUGAUUAUAUGAACAAAGGAAAACAAAAGAGCAAUUCGCUACACACACACACUCUCUCUCUCUAGAGUAAGGCCGAACAAGUAUGGAGUUAUCUUUCUUUUUGGAUCACAGUUCAAUUCGGACUUCACAACAGAUUCGACAGAGAGAAGAUAUGGUAAUACUGGGCUGUGUAUAGAUGGUGACAAGAACUCGAAACUCUAAAGGACUAGACACUAAGACCAGCAACUCGACACAAACCGAAGCAACGCAAAUUCAACAAGCCCUAACUAAAACGGUACUAGCCAAGGCACAAAGGUUUAAUAGGAUUAUGGAAAAACUAAUCUACUAUAUUUUUUUGGCUUUUCUGGACUAUAGGAAAUUAAUUAAACACAGCAAAGGAUUAGAAGUCUCUCACCGAAGAACCUUGCUCUGAUACCAACUGAUGCGAACCCGCUAGGGUUUUUGGCCUGAUCUUUUGAUGAGAGACGGGGAUAACUCGAUUGGUGGAUGGAGAUGACGUUCACGGCCCGACUACAGCCCUCAAGACCGCGCCUUAGCAACCGAUACACCACGUCCAACAGCCGUCACGAUCUUGUGGAGCGCGACAACCAGCCCCU